GGGUCUGUAGCUCAGCUGGUUAGAGCACUGUGUUGAUAACGCAGGGGUCGUUGGUUCGAGCCAACUAGACCCACCA
rnacentral:tRNA from 1 species